AUAGGCAGCCUCCUUAUACGACUACGACCUGGCUCGCUACGUUUGCCGACCUCUCUCUCUACUUGGUUUGCUAAGCCCUAACCUAGCUCGCGCUGGGCAGGGUAGGGCAGGGCAUCAAGGGGGUGGGUGGAGGGAGGCGGCCGGCCAUCCGCUGCGCGGGGCCUCGACGAUCGGGGGAGGUUCGAAGGGCCGGGCAGAGGGGAAUGGUCGCGCUGCUCCCAGGGCCGCCGCUGGCCCCAGGCCGUCGGGAUCCCUUACUUGAACCCUGUUGUACGGCUACUGUACGGCCCAUUAUUACCAUCACCGUUCGUCCGACAAACCUGUUGACGGUACAGCAGGAAACACGAAUUCAAGUACCGAUUGGAUCACUGAUCACCUUGAUCUCGGAGGUUGUCAAAGUCCGUUCAAGUGGUAUUUUCGACACGUUUCCGAAACUUGCUCGCAAAGUUCGAAGUUCAUUGACGACGAGUCUAAAGAUUGGUGGAAGCCUUCACCUUUUCUUAUACCCCUUCCCAAUUGUUCGAGUUCUUGAAUUCACCACGAGAAACCCUACUCGUAUGUACGUGGUAACACGAACUAGUCCUCGUAAUACGGUCAGUGCAAUUCCUGGUGGUAUCACUACGUCUGUACAACUUGUGAGGCUAACUCGUGAUAGUAGUCUACCGAUGUUAGACACCGUUGCCAUACCAAAGUCCACAUAUACGAUCGUCCUCAUCGUUACUCGAAGAAAGGUGUCUGCACCGACUACUACUUAAACUUUUACUUCUAUGGUUACCCCUCUCACUGGGAGAAUGAUGUUUACACUGACUCUUACUUUACCUUUUGUCUUUUUGAUCACUUCGCUCAUUGGGAGAACGAUAUCAACACUAGCUCUUACCGUUUUGGACACUUCUCCGGUGUUUUAGAAAAUGAUUGUGACUACCUCCUUUGAAACCACUAGGGAGACCGUCGAAUGGUGGUGGUUUCUUCCGGUUCCCUUACUUGAACCUUGUCGUACGCCUAUUGUAACCCCCAUGAUUACCACCACCACCCGUUGAACAAACCUGUUUACGGUACAGUUGGAAACACGAAGUCAAGAACUGAUUGGAUCACCGGUCACCUUGAUCUGGGAGAGUACAAAAGUUCGUUCAAGUAGAAUUUUCAACACGAGUUCGAAACUCACUCGUAAAGUCCCAAGUUCACUUACGACGUGUCUAAAGAUUGGUAGAAUCCUUUACCUUCUUUUACACCUUUUUCCAAUUGUAUGAGUUCUCAAAUUCACCGCGAGAAACCCUACGCUUGUGAAUGUGGUAACACGAACUAGUACUCGUAAUGUGUCGAGUGCAAUUCCUGGUGGUAGUACUACGGCUGAAGAACUUGUGAGGUUAAUUCUUGAUAGCACUCUACCGCAGUUAGAAACAGUUUCCGUACCGAAGUAGGUCCGGUCGAUCCUCAUCGUUACUCAGAGAACGAUCUCUGCACGAACUCUUACCUUAGCUUUUGCUUUUGCACUUACCUCCCUGACUGGAAUAACGAUUUCCUCAACUUCCCCGGCGUUACAGAAAAUGAUUGUGACUACUUCCUCUGUCGCCACUAAGGAGACCGUCAAACGGUGGGGGUGGGGCUGGUUUCUUCCGGUUCCAUUUUUUACUACUGUCGGACGAUACGUGCUACUGGGCACAAGAGCUAGCGGAUCGUCUUCGGUAUCUCUUCACGUCAUCCUCUCUGUGACUACAGGGGCUGCUGGAAACCCGCUUGUACUUCCCGGAGGGCCCCAAACUUGUCCUCGUAGAACGGGUGAUGAUACGAAUAAACACGCUCUUACGAGUGCAACGGUCCCGUAAGCUGUUCGAAUCGCACGGAGUGUUUUGCUAGACCCAAUUAUCCAUGUAGUUCUUGGUGGAGAGCCGGAUCAACCAUGGAUGCUACCAUCCCAACCCGAUACCAUUAUGAAGAGAACAUCAAAAAACAUACUUGGUACUGUAUCUUUACGCCGACUAGAAAUAUACGCACUAGGACAUGUACGAUCUUCUACGGUACCAAACCAUACUAUUAACCUCAACCUCCUACAGUGUACGACUUACGGAACAAUUUGACAAUCUAGUCCGUCCGUACCGUCCUACUCGGUCCUUCCGUUUCAUUAA
rnacentral:rRNA from 1 species